rnacentral:rRNA from 1 species
GACGAACGCUGGCGGCGUGCCUAAUACAUGCAAGUAGAACGCUGAAGGAGGAGCUUGCUUCUCUGGAUGAGUUGCGAACGGGUGAGUAACGCGUAGGUAACCUGCCUGGUAGCGGGGGAUAACUAUUGGAAACGAUAGCUAAUACCGCAUAAUAGCAGUUGUUGCAUGACAACUGUUUGAAAGGUGCAAUUGCACCACUACCAGAUGGACCUGCGUUGUAUUAGCUAGUUGGUGGGGUAACGGCUCACCAAGGCGACGAUACAUAGCCGACCUGAGAGGGUGAUCGGCCACGCUGGGACUGAGACACGGCCCAGACUCCUACGGGAGGCAGCAGUAGGGAAUCUUCGGCAAUGGACGGAAGUCUGACCGAGCAACGCCGCGUGAGUGAAGAAGGUUUUCGGAUCGUAAAGCUCUGUUGUAAGAGAAGAACGAGUGUGAGAGUGGAAAGUUCACACUGUGACGGUAUCUUACCAGAAAGGGACGGCUAACUACGUG